rnacentral:rRNA from 1 species
GAGUGGCGGACGGGUGAGUAACACGUGGGUAACCUGCCCUUAAGUGGGGGAUAACAUUUGGAAACAGAUGCUAAUACCGCAUAGAUCCAAGAACCGCAUGGUUCUUGGCUGAAAGAUGGCGUAAGCUAUCGCUUUUGGAUGGACCCGCGGCGUAUUAGCUAGUUGGUGAGGUAAUGGCUCACCAAGGCGAUGAUACGUAGCCGAACUGAGAGGUUGAUCGGCCACAUUGGGACUGAGACACGGCCCAAACUCCUACGGGAGGCAGCAGUAGGGAAUCUUCCACAAUGGACGCAAGUCUGAUGGAGCAACGCCGCGUGAGUGAAGAAGGCUUUCGGGUCGUAAAACUCUGUUGUUGGAGAAGAAUGGUCGGCAGAGUAACUGUUGUCGGCGUGACGGUAUCCAACCAGAAAGCCACGGCUAACUACGUGCCAGCAGCCGCGGUAAUACGUAGGUGGCAAGCGUUAUCCGGAUUUAUUGGGCGUAAAGCGAGCGCAGGCGGUUUUUUAAGUCUGAUGUGAAAGCCCUCGGCUUAACCGAGGAAGCGCAUCGGAAACUGGGAAACUUGAGUGCAGAAGAGGACAGUGGAACUCCAUGUGUAGCGGUGAAAUGCGUAGAUAUAUGGAAGAACACCAGUGGCGAAGGCGGCUGUCUGGUCUGUAACUGACGCUGAGGCUCGAAAGCAUGGGUAGCGAACAGGAUUAGAUACCCUGGUAGUC